UACAGAGGUCCCAAGCGUUGUUCGGAUUCAUUGGGCGUAAAGGGUGCGUAGGUGGCGCCGUAAGUCAGGUGUGAAAUUUCGGAGCUUAACUCCGAAACUGCAUUUGAUACUGCGGUGCUUGAGGACUGGAGAGGAGACUGGAAUUUACGGUGUAGCAGUGAAAUGCGUAGAGAUCGUAAGGAAGACCAGUGGCGAAGGCGGCUUCCUGGACCGACACUGACGCUGAAGCGCGAAAGCUAGGGGAGCAUACGGG
rnacentral:rRNA from 1 species